CCAGGAUUUGUUCCACUGCCCUGCCCACUGGAAGUUCCAGGACAAUCUCUGUCUCCUUUCAGCCUCAGGAGUCUUUUGGCAGGAGAGAACAGAAAAUCCUUGGGAUUGGCGUUUCUAGAUUAUAUUCUUAUCUAGCACACGGCCUAGAAUACACAGGGGACAAAAAGAAAACACAGCUUUCCUUAUUCCUGAAAAUGACCAAGCCAAGAUUUCUGGGAAGAUAUGGAGAGAAACUAUUAUGAAAUGGAAAGGGGCCUGAACUGGGUGGAAUGAGAUCAGUGAAAAGUCCUGGGGGUACUCCACCAAAAAAACAUCAAAAGAAGAACUGAAAAUGAAAGUAAAGCCUAUGUUGAAUUAGAAA